CAGCCACCGGCGCUCCAACCCAUCAGCGUGGACCACCGGGGCCUAUCAACCCCGACCAGUGGGCUUGAAAGGGAGGAGGCAUAGCGUCAUGGAGGAAAGCCCCGGUACACGUGACGCAACCAACAAGAACACGGAAACCCCACCCCGUGACAUCACCUUUGGAUGCUCAAAAAUGCAUUUGUGAGUGAAGUCAACCUCCGAAGAUGUUGCAAGGUGUGGCUGUCAUAAAUCCCUGUGAGAGUUGUGAGGGCCACCUAUAUGAAAUGACUUGGGGAUGAACACUGGGUGUGUUUGAAGCCCACUGCCCUGCUUUGGGGGUCAUACUCAAGACUCAUCUGUUCAUAAUCACCUACCUGUAGCAACGGCAAAUCCCACACUCUCAAUCUGUGUUGUUUUCUCAUACUAUUUCUUUUGUUUCUGUUUGUUUUCUGUUCCUUUGUACAGCGUCUUUGGGUCCCUGAAAAGCGCUAUCUCCAUAAAAUGUAUUAUUAUUAUGAGCCUGGCAUGGACACACUGACAGACACACACACAAUGGGUUAUCCCAUCACACAGCUCUUCAUUCAUUUCAAGUUCAACUAUGGGCCUAGUCACAUAAUUUGCUUGGCUUUUCUGCUUGGCAUAUUCAUAGCUAAAUGUUUGGAGAAAAACCUGAUGGAGUGUGCACCUGGAAACAAGAUAGAUUGUCUAGCCCAAAACAAAUGUGAUAGUGCUGUUCAACCUGAUGGUGACUAAUUCACUAGAUAUCCCUUAAGUUAGCUAAUAAAACUCACAAGCGUUUACCGCUUGGGUAUACUGGCUUUCCAAGCUAGUUCCACUUCAUAUUUAAUUACAACCCCCUAAUCAGGAACUUAUUUAAAACCAGAUGGCUUCAAUUACUGAGAUAUUAGAGAAAACCAGCAGGCUCCGGCCUUCAUAGGACACGUUUUGAAUACCCCUGCAUAACCAUCCAGAUGUGAUGUAAACAAAAAACAGCCCCUCUUUCCCCAUCUGUUUACAGUGCUCAUUAAUCAGAUAAGCAAAAAAUUAUAAACAAUAACAAAAAAGGAUAAUAUCGGUCAAUGCCUUGCUAAAAGAAACCCAAUUACAAGCAAGACAUUCUUUUCAUAAAAUAGGAUCUGUCUGCCUGUUUAGUGUAGGAGAACUGUUUGCCAAAGCAAACAUGGACUGUCCUAAUUCCUCCACCCAUGCCCUGGACUCCAAUCUUAAUGUAGACAGCCCUGAAACUCUACAACUUCAGACCUUGAAC
ensembl:lncRNA